UACGGAGGGUGCAAACGUUGCUCGGAAUCAUUGGGCGUAAAGCGCACGUAGGCGGUCCAGUAAGUCGGGUGUGAAAGCCCUCGGCUCAACCGAGGAAGUGCAUUCGAAACUACUGAACUUGAGUAUGGAAGAGGGUCGCGGAAUUCCCGGUGUAGAGGUGAAAUUCGUAGAUAUCGGGAGGAACACCAGUGGCGAAGGCGGCGACCUGGACAGAUAUUGACGCUGAGGUGCGAAAGCGUGGGGAGCAAACAGG
rnacentral:rRNA from 1 species